rnacentral:lncRNA from 1 species
GGCAUAAAAAAAGCUCAAGGUAUUUAAGUUGGGACAGAGUCGGGACGGACAAGGGUUACAUUUAACACUUAAUUCCCCUUCCACUACGGUAGGGGAAUAAAAAUGGCUUAAACUAGUUAUUUACAGUAUAUGAUUUUCAAGGGUCAUUUCAGGUGCUAGAAACUUUAAGUCAUCCAGUAUAUCAAGUCUAUGUAAUUAUUAAUGACAUGACAACCAUAUUGUAUAAUAAUACCAUAAGUGAUCUUUUU